ACAUGCAGUCGAGCGGUAGCACAGAGAGCUUGCUCUCGGGUGACGAGCGGCGGACGGGUGAGUAAUGUCUGGGAAACUGCCUGAUGGAGGGGGAUAACUACUGGAAACGGUAGCUAAUACCGCAUAACGUCGCAAGACCAAAGUGGGGGACCUUCGGGCCUCAUGCCAUCAGAUGUGCCCAGAUGGGAUUAGCUAGUAGGUGGGGUAACGGCUCACCUAGGCGACGAUCCCUAGCUGGUCUGAGAGGAUGACCAGCCACACUGGAACUGAGACACGGUCCAGACUCCUACGGGAGGCAGCAGUGGGGAAUAUUGCACAAUGGGCGCAAGCCUGAUGCAGCCAUGCCGCGUGUAUGAAGAAGGCCUUCGGGUUGUAAAGUACUUUCAGCGGGGAGGAAGGCGAUAAGGUUAAUAACCUUGUCGAUUGACGUUACCCGCAGAAGAAGCACCGGCUAACUCCGUGCCAGCAGCCGCGGUAAUACGGAGGGUGCAAGCGUUAAUCGGAAUUACUGGGCGUAAAGCGCACGCAGGCGGUCUGUCAAGUCGGAUGUGAAAUCCCCGGGCUCAACCUGGGAACUGCAUUCGAAACUGGCAGGCUAGAGUCUUGUAGAGGGGGGUAGAAUUCCAGGUGUAGCGGUGAAAUGCGUAGAGAUCUGGAGGAAUACCGGUGGCGAAGGCGGCCCCCUGGACAAAGACUGACGCUCAGGUGCGAAAGCGUGGGGAGCAAACAGGAUUAGAUACCCUGGUAGUCCACGCCGUAAACGAUGUCGAUUUGGAGGUUGUGCCCUUGAGGCGUGGCUUCCGGAGCUAACGCGUUAAAUCGACCGCCUGGGGAGUACGGCCGCAAGGUUAAAACUCAAAUGAAUUGACGGGGGCCCGCACAAGCGGUGGAGCAUGUGGUUUAAUUCGAUGCAACGCGAAGAACCUUUACCUGGUCUUGACAUCCACAGAACUUAGCAGAGAUGCUUUGGUGCCUUCGGGAACUGUGAGACAGGUGCUGCAUGGCUGUCGUCAGCUCGUGUUGUGAAAUGUUGGGUUAAGUCCCGCAACGAGCGCAACCCUUAUCCUUUGUUGCCAGCGGUUCGGCCGGGAACUCAAAGGAGACUGCCAGUGAUAAACUGGAGGAAGGUGGGGAUGACGUCAAGUCAUCAUGGCCCUUACGACCAGGGCUACACACGUGCUACAAUGGCAUAUACAAAGAGAAGCGACCUCGCGAGAGCAAGCGGACCUCAUAAAGUAUGUCGUAGUCCGGAUUGGAGUCUGCAACUCGACUCCAUGAAGUCGGAAUCGCUAGUAAUCGUAGAUCAGAAUGCUACGGUGAAUACGUUCCCGGGCCUUGUACACACCGCCCGUCACACCAUGGGAGUGGGUUGCAAAAGAAGUAGGUAGCUUAACCUUCGGGAGGGCGCUUACCACUUGA
rnacentral:rRNA from 1 species